UAAACUAGGAUUAGAUACCCUAUUAUUUUAAAUGUAAAUUUUAAAUACUGAAUUAGUAUUAGUUAUGUUCUUGAAAAUUAAAAAAUUUGGCGGUAUUUUAGUCUUUUCAGAGGAACCUGUCCUGUAAUUGAUAGUCCACGAUAUAGGGUACUUUAUUUAUUAGUUUACAUAUCGUCGUAGUUAGAAUAUUUUAAAAGAAUAUAAAUAUUCUAGAUUUUAAAUUAAAAAGUAAAUCAGAUCAAGGUGUAGUUUAUAAUAAAGGAGAGAUGGGUUACAUUAAAUUUAUUUAAGGAUAAUUUUUAGGAUAAAAAUUUGAAUUUGGAUUUGAAAGUAAUUUUAUUUAGUUAAUUAAAAUGAUUUUAGCUCUAGAAUAUGUACACAUCGCCCGUCGCUCUUAA
rnacentral:rRNA from 1 species